CCGAGUUCAUGCCCUCACGGGUAGAUCUCCCACCCUAUGAUAUUCUUACCUUUGUUGCUUUGGCGGGCCGUCAGGCUUCGGCCAGGCUACCGGCUACGGCUGGUAAGCGCCCGCCAGAGGAUUCUAAACCCUGAAUGUUAGUGUCGUCUGAGUACUAUAUAAUAGUUA
rnacentral:misc_RNA from 2 species